AUGAAGUAUGUUGGAAAUUUCUGUGUGUGAGUGCUUGGAAAAAGCUGCCUCUUUAGCCGAAAUAUAUAUUGUCCUGUUGACUUGACUGGGAAAGUUAAUUUGCGUGUAUGGGUUGUGUUGAGCCUAUCAUUUUCCAAUUCCAGAUAGAGAAUUUGCAGAUCCAUUACCCAAACAUUAUCGAUCGAUCGAGAGAGAUUUGCAAAUAUAAAUUGGGUGUUUGAAUGCCUCAAUUUGCAGAUCCAAAGGCCAAACACUGAAGUGAGUUUGAGAGAUUUGAGUUUGGUAUAUAGGGGAUUGGUAAUACUCGUACAAGAUUUAUCUUCCACACUAUUGUGUUUCUGAUCGAUCGAGCAGAAAAGACACAGGAGAUUAUAUCUGAAAUGGAUAGUGAGGCCGCUGGUCCAAGUAAGAGGAGGAGGAUUAUAUCUGAAAUGGAGUCUGAUGCUUCAGCCACCUCCGUACCUGUUCCAGGAGGCGAAUACGAAGUGUUUUUGAGUUUUAGAGGUCCAGACACUCGCCGCACAUUCACAGAUAUUCUAUAUACCUAUCUCAUUGACGCAGGUGUUCGCACCUUUCGGGAUGACAAUGAGCUUCGCAAAGGAGAAGAGAUCGGCCCUGAGCUCCUCGAAGCAAUCAGGGAUUCCAGUAUCUCCAUCCCCAUCUUCUCCAAGAACUAUGAUGGUGGAUUGCAAUAGAAGCACUGGACAAUCGAUUCUGCCAAUCUUCUAUGAUGUUGAACCAUCGGAUGUGAGGCAUCAAUCUGGGAGUUAAGAGGAAGCCUUUCGCAAGCACGAGAGCUGUUUUGAUGAAUGCACUGUUAUGAAAUGGAAGGAGGCACUCAAACAGGUUGGAGAACUCAAGGGUUGGGAAGUCAACAAAGAAGCUGCUGGGCAUCAAGGGGAAUUAGCAAAAACGAUUGUUCAAACAGUGUCGUUGAACCUGAAGAAAAAAUGCAUGGUUACAUUUGACAACUUAGUUAUGAUGGAUGAUCAUCUGAAUGAAAUGAUGAGAUUAUUAAAUGUUGGUUCAAAUGAUGUAAGGAUUGUUGGUAUCCUUGGCAUGGGUGGUAUAGGCAAGACAACUAUUGCCAAGUCCAUCUACAACAAGCUCCUCCACGACUUUAAAAAUUGUUGUAGCUUCCUUGCAGAUGUUCGGGAAAAUGUCAAACAAUACAAAGAUAAAGGUAUUGUUGAUUUGCAGAACCAGCUUCUCAAUGACACUCUUAAACCGCACCCUCCCAUUACUAAUGUUAACGGUGGAAUCGACGCUAUCAUUUUCUAUCAAAGGUCGAUUUCUCAAAAAGAAAGUUUUCAUUGUUCUUGACGAUGUGGAUGAAAAGUCUCAAUUCGAUUGGCUUGUGGGAAAUUGUGAUUGGUUUGGUCCAGGAACUAGGAUCAUAGUUACAACUAGAAACAAGCAUGUUUUAAAUAUUCGUGAAGUGGAUGAGACUUACGAACCUCCAUUUAUGAACCGAGACCAAUCUCUUCAACUUCUUAGCAUUCAUGCUUUUCGGAAAAAGUUUCCUCCAUUGGACUUUGAUAGUAUCUCUAGAGCGGUGGUAUCAGUUACUGCAGGGCUUCCUCUAGCUCUUGAGGUUAUAGGUUCAUUUCUAUCUGACAAGCCAAAAACAGUAUGGGAGGAUACAUCGAAGAAGUUGAAGAAAAUACCAAAUCAUGAAGUUCAGGAAAAAUUGAGAGUAAGUUAUGAUUGUAUUAACCCAUGAGCAAAAACAGAUAUUUCUUGAUAUUGCAUGUCUUUUUAUUGGGAUGGAUAAAACAUAUCCAUUUUACAUGUGGGAUGCAAAGACAGAAAUUAAUGUCCUUUGUCUCAUGUCUCUAAUAAAACUUGAAAAUGAUAAAGCAUUGAGAAUGCAUGAUCAACUAAGAGAUCUUGGUAGAGAAAUCGUCCGUCAAGAAGAUUUCGAGAAUCCAGAACUGCGCAGCACGUUGUGGGAUCGACAAGAAGCCUCGGCUGUAUUUGAGGAAUGCAUGAUAACUGAAAAGGUACAACUCCUAAAUCUUGAUGUUGUUGGAAAGAUGUGUGAGCAUGACAAAUUCGCUGAAUGAUCUAAACUGCGAUAUCUCCAAAUAAAUGAAGCUGAAGUUGUUGUCGGGGAUUUCAAGCAUCGCUUGUUAAACUUAAGAUGGCUUUGUUGGCAAGAUUCCCCUCUGCAUUUUGAAGCAACCAAUUUUCAAAUGAAGAAACUAGUCAUACUUGAUCUAAGCGGUAGUAGGAUCCCAGAGAACUGGAAGGGUUGGGGUCAAAUUAAGAUGGCAAGUAACUUAAAAGUGCUUGACAUUUCACACACUGAAAUACGGGAGCUACCUGAUGAAAUUAGGAUGUUAAAGAAGCUGGAAAUUAUAGUUGCAAAAUAUUCUAGAUUGAGAGGUAACAUUCCAAGUUGCAUUGGGAGAUUAUGAUGUUUGAUAUACUUAAGCAGCUUUUAUUCUGCAGGAAUUCAAAGCCUACCAACAAGCAUUCAUACCCUUGACUUGGGAGGCUGUUACGGUCUCGAAGCACCGCUGGAGCUUCCUUCAAGUUUACAAUUUCUGUAUGUUUAUUUGGGAGGCUGUAAACUUCAAUGUAUAUUGGGUUUACCUCCCAAUCUGGUUGGAUUAUAUAUUGAUGGUGGUCUGUCAUUGGAAAUACUACCAGAACUGUCAAAUUUGAAGCUCUUGUCGGAAUUGCAACUUUAUGAGUGCCGUAAGCUGACAAAGAUUAAAGGGCUUGGGAAACUACAAUCAUUGACGAGUUUGAGAAUAAAAAAAUGUAAUUUUCUGACAGAGAUUGAAGGACUUGGAAAUCUAGAAUUGCUAGAAAAUUUGACAAUAUCUCAGUGUGAUGAGCUGACAGAGAUUCAAGGACUUGGAAAUCUAGUAUCGCUGGCAAGUUUUUGUAUGAGUUGGUGCUCUAAAAUACUUGAACUUGAUCUGCUCGAAUGUUUGGCACCUCUAGCAUCCUUAGAGAUGAGUGGGUAUAAACACCCUAAAAAUAAACCAGAUCGGUUCAACUUAAACAAGUUAGAUUUUUUUGAAGUUUUUGAAUGCUGGAAUCUCAAUAAGAUUGAAGGACUACAUUUAUUGGUAUCAUUGGAAUAUUUGAAUUUGUCGUAUUGCUCAUCCUUGGUAAGAAUGCCAAAUCUAUCAAACUUGAAAUUGUUGAGACACUUACUGCUCCCUGAUUGCAUGAGCUUACGUGAGAUUGAGGGUCUUGAGGCUUUGAAAGCCUUGGAGGAACUGGACAUCAGGGGGUGCUCAUCACUGGAAAAAGUACCGCAUCUGCCAAACACAGAUAUUCUUUCUGAUGAUUCUGAUUUUGAUUUUGAUAAUUAUGAUAAAGAUUGUGAUGAAGAUUCUGAUGAUUAUGAUGAAGAUUUCCAUUGAGCCUGGCUUGGUUCCCCUUUUUGUUCUACAGAUUGUAUGCAGUACCAUGUUUUUUCCAGUGCUCAGAGCACUCCAUCAUUGUGGCUUUCCUUUCCUUGAUUACUUGCUCAUUAUCUUUUCUUUUUAUUUAUCAAUUCAGGUUCUCAUAUAGGAAAUUAACUUGGGUGGAAUAAUAAAACAUUGGUGAAGAGCAUAGUAUCAAAAGAAUACUCCUAGUAAGAAAGGGAUUUUAAUUAUAAAAUCAGUCAACACCAGUGAUUCUGAGCUUUAAAAAAUAACAUUCCGUGGGACCGAGCAAUGUUGAAGAUCCAAGUCUAAUUAUACUUAGAAAAUAGUCCAAAAGAAGCCACAAGUUGAUGAGAAUGGAAAGAAGAAGAAAUGGAAAAUUCCUUCUCCAAAAAGGAAAAUUUCGUCAAAAUUGGUAACUUGAACCCGUUUUGGUAAUCUGGCUGUAUCUCUCUCCUCGAGGAUUCCCUAAAACAAAUUUUUACCUUGUCAAAAUUGGCCUGGAAGUCUGUACGAAUUUCGGGAGUCCUUAUUUGACAGAAUUUCUAUGUAUGUCUUCGAUAUAAAAAAAAGGAAACUUUAGGGCUAAUCUUUUAUUAUUUAAAGGGAGUACUCUAAAACAUUAAAUCAUCAUACAGAGGAGCAAGGCUGAGAUCAAAGGAGGAGCAUUCAGAAGAAAUAAGAGAUCGAUCCAUGGCGGUGAAGAUGUCUUCCUUAACCAUGAAGAAUUCCCCUCCAGUCAUGCUUGGCUAAACGCUUUGCUAAGGUUGUGAUGUAGCCCUAGCUUAGCACACUGGUUUGAUUGUAUUUAAUUAUUGGAGAAACAAUUUUUGUCAUGCAUGAUUGUGUAAUC